rnacentral:rRNA from 1 species
AUGAUUUGGGUACUGUUCAUAAUGCAGUUGGCUUCUCAUGGCACCCGAGAUGAAGAAGGAAUGCAGCUGGUGCCCCGUUGUGAUCAGGAAGAAGUGUCAGAUUCGCAGGAGAUAUUUUCACAAUCUGACACCGCAGGAAGCUCCACCGAGUAUCUGGGCUCAUGUGAAAUUAAGCCAUUAAUUGUUGAGGAUGAAGAUCACAAUAUCGAUGAGAGUGAAGAAACCCAUCUUGUCAUUCAAGACUUUCCACAAUGCCGGAUUUGCCUUGAUAAUGAAGGUGAUGACUUAAUUGCACCAUGCAACUGCAAGGGCACACAAAAGUAUGUCCACAGGUCCUGUCUUGAUAACUGGAGAUCAACAAAGGAAGGUUUUGCAUUUUCACAUUGCACUGAGUGUCGGGCAGCAUUCUUACUUCGUGCAAAUGUUCCUCCAGAUCGAUGGUGGCUAAGGCUCAAGUUUCAACUUCUGGUUGCUAGAGAUCACACAUUGAUCUUUUUCACUGUACAACUGGUUGUUGUUUUAUUGGGUAUGCUGGUAUACAGAUUUUAUGGAGAUGAGCUGCGAGAAAUGUUUGGCUAUGAACAGCAUCCUUAUGCUUUUUAUGCAUUGGCAAUACUGGCUGUUAUUUUGGUUGGUUUGCUAUAUGGAUUCUUCAUAGCUAUUAUAUGUGGACAGAGGAUCACUGAACGGCACUACCAUGUUCUUGCAAAGCAAGAGUUAACCAAGGAGUAUAUCGUAGAGGAUCUUGAAGGAGCUGAUCCAGUGGCAGACCUUGAUCCUAGCCAUGUUACGGAGCUGAGGACGCUGGGGCUCUAUUGA